UACGUAGGGUGCGAGCGUUAAUCGGGAUUACUGGGCGUAAAGCGUGCGCAGGCGGUCUGUUAAGUCCGAUGUGAAAUCCCCGGGCUUAACCUGGGAACUGCAUUGGUGACUGGCAGGCUUUGAGUGUGGCAGAGGGAGGUAGAAUUCCACGUGUAGCAGUGAAAUGCGUAGAGAUGUGGAGGAAUACCGAUGGCGAAGGCAGCCUCCUGGGCCAACACUGACGCUCAUGCACGAAAGCGUGGGGAGCAAACAGG
rnacentral:rRNA from 1 species